AACUUAUCAAGAGUGGUAGAGGGACUGGCCCUAUGAUACCCAGCAACCAGCGUUUACGCAAGGUGCUAAAUCCAGCGGAGCAAUCCGGAAGAUGAGUU
rfam:Sporomusa malonica strain DSM 5090 genome assembly, contig: Ga0070592_101